rnacentral:rRNA from 1 species
GGCGUAGGCGGUCUUUCAAGUCGGAUGUGAAAUCUCCCAGCUUAACUGGGGAGGGGUCAUUCGAUACUGUUGGGCUAGAGGGCAGCAGAGGGAGAUGGAAUUCCCGGUGUAGUGGUGAUAUGCGUAGAUAUCGGGAGGAACACCAGUGGCGAAGGCGAUCUCCUGGGCUGUGCCUGACGCUGAGGCCCGAAGGCGGUGGGGAGCAAACA